rnacentral:lncRNA from 1 species
CUGAGUCAGCUCAUAGGAGGCCACGGAUCCUACAGGAGAGAAAACGGGAGAGAAAAGGCUUGAAACUGAGGAGCUGAACUCCAAGUAGUAUGAUGUCCUGCCCAUGUGGCCAUUCCUUGUCCUGCGUGGAGAUGGCCAGGGACUGACUUACAAUGGCGACUGAGGGAUUAUUCUGAGAUCUAAGGUCCCUGAUUCCCUGGUCUGCAGACUGCUGGUGCCAAUGGAGGAAAUUUUUCUCUUCUCUUUGUGACUCAUGCCUGCCUCAAUACCAGGACCAGCGUACAGUGGUGACUCCUGCACCAAAGUCAGAGACAGAAGAACAUCCACCCAUCAAAUGUUAAUCCAGACCCACUGUGGUCUGGGACACGUUCCAUGCGGUGAAUUCAGCAGGAACAAGACACAGCCUUCUUGAAAUACAGGACCUAGGAACACAAAAUCUGCAAACUGCACUUAACACAAAAGGGAAGGGGCUGAGAUGGGGAGGAACAAUUCCAAGGUCACUUGGCAAGGAGAGAGAAAAGGAAGACGAGAAAUGCUCUGGACCUGUAACAGUAAGUCUUCUGAGUGUCCUGGGACCAGCCUGCCAGGGAGGGCAUGGGAAAAUCCUCAGCCCAAAUUCUCAGCCCAAAUCCCUCCCUAUGGAGACGGCAUCUCAGUCAGCUCUUUUAGCUGCCUGUAGGGGGCGCGCCUGCCACACUCUGGGUUGAAAGGGAGAGAAAAGACGGUUGAUUCCCAGCUCAGGAACCAAGCUGU